UGAAAAUAGUAAAGUCUAGAAGUGAGUCUGGGGAGAGAAACAUCCCCGUGCACAGACACCAGCAUGUGAGCUGAGGCGGGGCAGACGCUGUGAUGGCUCCCUGCCGAGGUGCAGGCAGAGGAUGAGAACAGGUGUAUCGAGAUGCAAGGCCCAUCCACCCUCCCGAGAGGCUCUGCCCUCUGGGAAAGCAGGAAGGCGGUCCCGGGACCCGGUGCCGUUCUAAGAUGUUUUUCUUCUGGGCCUUCGGUUCCGUGGCUGCGUAGGGGCGUUGGUGAGCAGGGGACAGGACUGCGACUGGAUGUCUGUAGUGACAGGAGCUUAUUCCCGAAAGGAAAUGUGGCCACUAGGCUAAGAAGAUGAGGGCUUGAAAAAAAGCAAAGCUUGGAAUUCCUGCCAGAGGUGAAUGGAUGAAGAUAUAGCUGGUUUAACUUUGUAUUGGGACUCUGAUAUGCUCCCUUAUUGUCACUGCUUCCAUGGACCCUUUAGCCCUGACAGGUCACUGAUGCCAGCCAGCUUCAGCCUGCACUUGUUAGCAUUUCAAGGAAGCAGUUUUAUGUCCUCUCUCUCUGCCUGCGAGGAGCUCCCUGCACACCUCAGUGAAGCUGCCUCGUUACCCUCCAUCAGAUGGAAAGCUCUCGGUGGGCAGGGUGCUUGUGACAAUCUCCAGACAACGAGGCUGCUGCCAGGCUGAGCCCCUCUUAACUGUGCUGCCCACCCUCUGUGCCAUGAUUCCCAUCUCCUCCCUGCUGCUUGUCUCUUGUGUUGUCAAGCUUUUGUCCUUUUUAUCCCCCUGACCCUGUACAGAGCUACACAAAUUAAAGCCCUUGUUGAUGACUCCUGGGCACUCCUGUAAUAGUAGCUUGUAAGAAUAUAAAUGUGACUGAAUUUAGUUAUUUAAGACUUGAUGGUAGAAAGGCUUGAUUCAUUAUGGAAUUUGUCAGACACAUGCUUUGUUCAAUAAAAUAUAUUU